GAUGAACGCUAGCUACAGGCUUAACACAUGCAAGUCGAGGGGCAGCGAGGGCGUAGCAAUACGCCUGUCGGCGACCGGCGCACUGGUGAGUAACACGUAUGCGACCUGCCCCCUACAGGGGUAUAACCCGUAGAAAUGCGGACUAAUCCCCCAUAGUCCUGGAGGCUGCAUGGCUUUCAGGGGAAAGGUCAGCCGGUAGGGGAUGGGCAUGCGGCGCAUUAGUUAGUUGGCGGGGUAACGGCCCACCAAGACGACGAUGCGUAGGGGUUCUGAGAGGAAGGUCCCCCACACUGGUACUGAGACACGGACCAGACUCCUACGGGAGGCAGCAGUGAGGAAUAUUGGUCAAAUGGGCGCAGGCCUGAACCAGCCAAGUCGCGUGAGGGAUGACGGUCCUACGGAUUGUAAACCUCUUUUGUCGGGGAGUAACGUGCGGGACGCGUCCCGUAUUGAGAAUACCCGAAGAAAAAGCAUCGGNUAACUCCGUG
rnacentral:rRNA from 1 species